AAAUAAACAUAUAUGUACAUACAUAUAUUUGAAAUAACUUCAGUCUUUUGCUAAACACCCAACAGUUCGGUCCUUAAAAUUCAACAUGAAAGAUCCUUUAUUAAUCUGUUUGGCGGCCGUGGCUCUAAUGUGGU